rnacentral:rRNA from 1 species
CCUACGGGUGGCAGCAGUGAGGAAUAUUGGUCAAUGGACGAGAGUCUGAACCAGCCAAGUAGCGUGAAGGAUAACUGCCCUAUGGGUUGUAAACUUCUUUUAUAUGGGAAUAAAACGUUCCACGUGUGGGAUUUUGUAUGUACCAUAUGAAUAAGGAUCGGCUAACUCCGUGCCAGCAGCCGCGGUAAUACGGAGGAUCCGAGCGUUAUCCGGAUUUAUUGGGUUUAAAGGGAGCGUAGGUGGAUUGUUAAGUCAGUUGUGAAAGUUUGCGGCUCAACCGUAAAAUUGCAGUUGAAACUGGCAGUCUUGAGUACAGUAGAGGUGGGCGGAAUUCGUGGUGUAGCGGUGAAAUGCUUAGAUAUCACGAAGAACUCCGAUUGCGAAGGCAGUUCACUGGACUGCAACUGACACUGAGGCUCGAAAGUGUGGGUAUCAAACAGGAUUAGAUACCCUUGUAGUC